rnacentral:rRNA from 1 species
GACGAACGCUGGCGGCGUGCCUAAUACAUGCAAGUCGAGCGAGCGGAACUAACAGAUUUACCUCGGUAAUGACGUUAGGAAAGCGAGCGGCGGAUGGGUGAGUAACACGUGGGGAACCUGCCCCAUAGUCUGGGAUACCACUUGGAAACAGGUGCUAAUACCGGAUAAGAAAGCAGAUCGCAUGAUCAGCUUUUAAAAGGCGGCGUAAGCUGUCGCUAUGGGAUGGCCCCGCGGUGCAUUAGCUAGUUGGUAAGGUAAAGGCUUACCAAGGCGAUGAUGCAUAGCCGAGUUGAGAGACUGAUCGGCCACAUUGGGACUGAGACACGGCCCAAACUCCUACGGGAGGCAGCAGUAGGGAAUCUUCCACAAUGGACGAAAGUCUGAUGGAGCAACGCCGCGUGAGUGAAGAAGGUUUUCGGAUCGUAAAGCUCUGUUGUUGGUGAAGAAGGAUAGAGGUAGUAACUGGCCUUUAUUUGACGGUAAUCAACCAGAAAGUCACGGCUAACUACGUG